UGGGGAAUAUUGCACAAUGGGCGCAAGCCUGAUGCAGCCAUGCCGCGUGUGUGAAGAAGGCCUUCGGGUUGUAAAGCACUUUCAGCGAGGAGGAAGGUGGUGAGCUUAAUACGCUCAUCAAUUGACGUUACUCGCAGAAGAAGCACCGGCUAACUCCGUGCCAGCAGCCGCGGUAAUACGGAGGGUGCAAGCGUUAAUCGGAAUUACUGGGCGUAAAGCGCACGCAGGCGGUUUGUUAAGUCAGAUGUGAAAUCCCCGGGCUCAACCUGGGAACUGCAUUUGAAACUGGCAAGCUAGAGUCUCGUAGAGGGGGGUAGAAUUCCAGGUGUAGCGGUGAAAUGCGUAGAGAUCUGGAGGAAUACCGGUGGCGAAGGCGGCCCCCCUGGACGAAGACUGACGCUCAGGUGCGAAAGCGUGGGGCAGCAAACAGGAUUAGAUACCCUGGUAGUCCACGCUGUAAACGAUGUCGAUUUUGGAGGUUGUGCCCCUUGAGGCGUGGCUUCCGGAGCUAACGCGUUAAAUCGACCGCCUGGGGAGUACGGCC
rnacentral:rRNA from 1 species